rnacentral:rRNA from 1 species
UAAUACGUAGGGUGUAAGCGUUGUUCGGAUUCAUUGGGCGUAAAGGGUGUGUAGGUGGCGCGCUAAGUCGGGUGUGAAAUUUCGGAGCUUAACUCCGAAACUGCAUUCGAUACUGGCGUGCUUGAGGACUGGAGAGGAGACUGGAAUUUACGGUGUAGCAGUGAAAUGCGUAGAUAUCGUAAGGAAGACCAGUGGCGAAGGCGGGUCUCUGGACAGUUCCUGACACUGAGAGACGAAGGCCAGGGGAGCAAACG